ensembl:antisense Gm29585 predicted gene 29585
CAACAGAAUCUGAUCUUUCCUCUGACUAGGGUGAACUUUGACGCCAAUGAUUCGUACUGUACCUUUUCACCCAGCUCCACACGUGUGAAUGUGAAUGUCUGCAGAUGAGGGUUAGCUCCCCGGACAGCUGGGGCCACUGUCUCCGCCAGAAGCUUCUCCAUAUACUGACCUAGGAAGGGCCACACCUGAGCCACGAUCUGGGAGGAAAGGAAAGAACACUCCAUUCGGCCUUUUCCACAUCUGGGAAGCUGACCUGGCAGGUAGUUCCCGGUGGCUCAUAUAAAGCGUCUCUGCGGUGAUCCGCUCCUCGUCAUCCAGCAGCUGCCUCGCUGCCCUCAGGCUCCGUUCUUUCCCAUCGCGGACCCGGCGCCAGCCCAAGUACAGGGCGAGGCCGAAAAGCACGAAACCUACGCUAAGACCCGCUG